CCUACGGGAGGCAGCAGUGGGGAAUUUUGGACAAUGGGCGAAAGCCUGAUCCAGCAAUGCCGCGUGAGUGAAGAAGGCCUUCGGGUUGUAAAGCUCUUUUGUCAGGGAAGAAACGGUGAGAGCUAAUAUCUCUUGCUAAUGACGGUACCUGAAGAAUAAGCACCGGCUAACUACGUGCCAGCAGCCGCGGUAAUACGUAGGGUGCAAGCGUUAAUCGGAAUUACUGGGCGUAAAGCGUGCGCAGGCGGUUUUGUAAGUCUGAUGUGAAAUCCCCGGGCUCAACCUGGGAAUUGCAUUGGAGACUGCAAGGCUAGAAUCUGGCAGAGGGGGGUAGAAUUCCACGUGUAGCAGUGAAAAUGCGUAGAUAUGUGGAGGAACACCGAUGGCGAAGGCAGCCCCCUGGGUCAAGAUUGACGCUCAUGCACGAAAGCGUGGGGAGCAAACAGGAUUAGAUACCCCUGGUAGUCCACGCCCUAAACGAUGUCUACUAGUUNUCGGGUCUUAAAUUGACUUGGUAAACGCAGCUAAACGCGUGAAAGUAGACCCGCCGCGGGAGGUACGGUCGGCGAAGAAGUUAAAAACUUAAACUAAAAUAAGUAAAGUUAGUACGGACGUAGGAGGACGAGACCGAACGGACGACCGACCGAAGGGGAAGGGAGGGAG
rnacentral:rRNA from 1 species